rnacentral:rRNA from 1 species
GUGUCAGCAGCCGCGGUAAUACAGAGGGUGCGAGCGUUAAUCGGAGUUACUGGGCGUAAAGGGUGCGUAGGCGGUACGGUGUGAGAGAUGUGAAAGCCCCGGGCUUAACCUGGGAAGAGCAUCUUUAACUACCGAACUAGAGUACAUCAGAGGGUGGCGGAAUUUCCGGUGUAGCGGUGAAAUGCGUAGAGAUCGGAAGGAACGCCGGUGGCGAAGGUGGCCACCUGGGGUGAUACUGACGCUGAGGCACGAGAGCGUGGGGAGCGAACAGGAUUAGAUACCCUUGUAGUCC